AGGAUGACUGUGAGGCUCAGGGAUAAUGGGAAUAUAGUAGGAGCUGAACUGAAAGCAUUCUGGUUAUUUCCGUGGUCACUAUUGCCGCCCCACCACACCUGAUUGCAGCCCCUGGUGCUACACCAGCUACAUUUGCUUCGUGUGACAGCAGGCUGUGGACAAGACUGCCUUGACCACUAGACUGCAAGCUCGCUGUGGGCCAGGCUCACGAUUCGCCCCCGGAUCUCCUAGCCCUGGCACCGAGCCGGCACUGGGGGCGCUCCAUGACUGUAGAAUAAGUGGAGAAAGCGACAGGGAUAAACGUAGAAAAACAAGCACAGACAGAUGGAGAGAGGGCAGCCUGGGAGGCAGAUAUUUCCGGGAGUCUCCACCGAAGGACAGGGAGGGCGGAGUCAGAAUCGGAGGCUGGGGCCUGGCUCGGGAGGCGGGGCCUGGUUCGGGGGCGGGUCUUGGCGCGGACCCCUCCCCGGUCCGUCUGCGAACGUGCUCCGCUGCCUCAGUCCGCCCGCCGCUGCGCCCCGGAGUGCAAGUGAGCCUCUCGGCUGCCCCGCGGGCCGGGCUGCGGAGCCGACAUGCGCCCGCUGCUUGGCCUCCUUCUGGUCUUCGCUGGCUGCACCUUCGCCUUGUACUUGCUGUCCACGCGACUGCCCCGCGGGCGGAGACUGGGCUCCACCGAGGAGGCUGGAGGCAGGUCCCUGUGGUUCCCCUCCGACCUGGCAGAGCUGCGGGAACUCUCUGAGGUCCUUCGAGACUACCGGAAGGAGCACCAGGCCUACGUGUUCCUGCUCUUCUGCAGUGCCUACCUCUACAAACAGGGCUUUGCCAUCCCCGGCUCCAGCUUCUUGCAUGUUUCUCUCCUCUAGGCUGAGGCUGGACCUGCUCAAGCAGUUUCCUUAUCGGAAACUAGAAGAAAAGCAGACAUGUCCAAGAGAGGCAGGGGAGAAUGUUUUAGCUGGUGCCUUGUUUGGGCCGUGGCUGGGGCUUCUGCUGUGUUGUGUGUUGACCUCGGUGGGUGCCACAUGGUGCUACCUGCUCUCCAGUAUUUUUGGCAAACAGUUGGUGGUGUCCUACUUUCCUGACAAAGUGGCCCUGCUGCAGAGAAAGGUGGAGGAGAACAGAAACAGCUUGUUUUUUUUCUUAUUGUUUUUGAGACUUUUCCCCAUGACACCAAACUGGUUCUUGAACCUCUCGGCCCCAAUUCUGAACAUCCCCAUCGUACAGUUCUUCUUCUCAGUUCUUAUCGGUUUGAUCCCAUACAAUUUCAUCUGUGUGCAGACAGGCUCCAUCCUGUCAACCCUAACCUCUCUGGAUGCUCUUUUCUCUUGGGACACUGUCUUUAAGCUAUUGGCCAUUGCCAUGGUGGCAUUAAUUCCUGGAACCCUCAUUAAAAAAUUUAGUCAGAAACAUCUGCAAUUGAAUGAAACAAGCACUGCUAAUCACAUACACAGUAGAAAAGACACGUGAUCUGGAUUUUCUGUUUGCCACGUCCCUGGACUCAGUUGCUUAUUUGUGUAAUGGAUGUGAUCCUCUAAAGCCCCUCAUUGUUUUUAAUUGCCUUCUAUAGGUGAUAUGGACACUGUGCAUCAAUGUGCAGUGUCUUGUCAGAAAGGACACUCUGCUCUUGAAGGUGGAUUACAUCAGGUUUUCAAACCAGCCCUGGUGUAGCAGACACUACAAUGGAUGCCUCCUAGAAAAUGCUGUUUGUGGCCGGGCGCGGUGGCUUACGCCUGUAAUCCCAGCACUUUGGGAGGCCAAGGCGGGUGGUUCACAAGGUCAGGAGUUCAAGACCAGCCUGGCCAAGAUGGUGAAAUCUUGUCUCUAUUAAACAUACAAAAAUUAGCCAGGCAUGGUGGCAGGCGCCUAUAAUCCCAGCUACUCGGGAGGCCGAGGCAGGAGAAUUGCUUGAACCCAGGUGGCAGAGGUUGCAGUGAGCCGAGAUCACACCACUGCAUUCCAGCCUGGGUGAUAAGAGUGAGACUCUGUCUCAACAAAAAAAAAAAAAAAAAAAAGGAAAGAAAAAGAAAAUGCUGUUUGUAUUAUAUUUUGUGGUCUAAUAAGGAGCUCAGGAUAGCCUGUUGUAUUUGCCUCAUGCCAGCCCCUGAGCUGCCUUGGGAGAAGAUGCUGACUGUCCUUGUCCAGAGUACCACUUUUGCAGAGUGACAGGCUGUUGGGGCAGAUGUCCUCCUGUUGCAUCCUUGUGGAUGGUUGGUACCGAUGAUGACAUGGGAACCCACAUCACUGACACGCUCUUCGUCUUCUGUUCGUCUCUUGAAGAGCAUUUCUUUUGUACUUUUUUGCUGAUGACCUACCUCUUCAUAAGCCAAGUGAAACAAGUUGACGAACUGCCUAGGACUUCCACAUAUUGGUCACAUGCAUGAUGAUUUCUGUCAUGCUCUUGUGUUCAGACACACUGAUGUUACCAUGUAUGUCAAACCUACUUGUGAUUGCAUGUCCUGACAGUUAAGCUGAUUGCAAACAGACUAUUAAAUAUGAAUGGAGCAAAUGCUGUAUGUUAUGGAUAUGUUCUGGAGAAAUUCUUAUCUAUCUGGAUGGGGUAGGGCCCUUGACUCACCUGAAUCAGAUGACCAGGCAAACAUUUUAUCUGUCAUUUCUGCAGGAAUCCCUUCUGUGUCAUGCUAGGAGAAUGAGUUCAGUAUAUGGGGCCAUCAGGCAGUAUACCUUCUGAAUGUUUUUCAUUUUUUUAUUUGCUGAGAGUAACCAAAGAAUAAUUGCAUCUUUUAAUAAUUUUAUGUCUUAAUUCAAAGGGAAACCUUGGCUUCUGAUAACUUCGUUGUUUGUAUCUUAAUGCGCUAAGCUGUCAUUACUUCCUCUAGCUGCAGUACGGAAUUGGCACAGACCUGGAUGAAUGGUUCCAAAGACAGAGGGACUUUGGCACCUAAACUGACCAGCCCUGUGAUCCUGCACCCCGCAGGAGUAUCUCAUCAGGACUUACCAGACCGUGGCUCUUGGAUAUCAUCUGCCGGGUUGAUGAUUUGGUUUGGCCAAGGGUCUUGCCAAGACUUUAAUCUAGGCCUCUUGUUCUACAUGAAUUCUUGGGAAUACUCAUGUUCCAUGGGGAGAGUGCAUUCCCAGGUGAUGGUUUUUGGUUAUGGUAUGAUCCUUUCACACCAAGGAUUUCAUUGUUGAAAACGUGUUUCUUUACAAGAAGCCUUGAUAAUGAGAGUGGGGGAAGGAGGCAGCAGACUUUGAAGACUGUGGCCCUUGGUGUUCUGGAGUAGGGGGAGGGAAGGAGAAAUGUGUUUUCCACAGCAUCGCAAGUGUGUGCCCUUUGCCCCUUUUCAGGAAUCUUAGAUUUGCCUCCCUCCCUCCACCCCAAUGAUUUUGCAAUAAUGUGCCUUAUCAGUUGUGAGUUUACAGGCAAAGCAAUUUCCCAAAUAAAUGGAUAUAAGUGUUCUGUGUGGUGCUUGUUUGAACAUGUUGUUAACUUUCAACCACCCUUGCCAGUGGAAAUUAGGAUUGGCUGAAAAUCAGACAGUCCAAAAUGGUGUUUUAAGCUUUCCACUCUCAGGAUGCUUCUUACCAAAAUAAUUUAUUGGAAGCCAGAUUUUCAUCUUCUUUUUCUCUCUCUGCUCCCUGUAUAGUGGGGUCACUAGUAACAGGAGUAGUUACCAGAUGGGCAGCAGGAAAGUAUAGGGAAGAAGCAGAGUGCUGGUCUAACCUUUACAGAAUAGUCAAGAAGAGGCUGUCACCAAAUACAAUGAUGAUUGCCUCUUCCUUUCGUGGCUGUGUCAAAUGUAACAAUCACAAACUAGCUUUCUCCAUUACCUGUGUUUUUGUGGCUGCAGGAAACCCAGUCAUGGAAAGUCUUCCUUUCCCUCAAGUUCUGACAAGUGCUGAGAUUGUUAAGGCAACUCUUGGGACACAAACAGUACAUUUAGAAAAAGACAGGACUAGGAAACAGUGAAGUACACUUUUUGUUUAAUUCCAUGCAUUUGUUUGCUUUGAUAGUCAUUCUUGUUCCCAUUGCUGUUCAAUACAGAGAGGGAGCCGGCAUCAGAAAACACUGGAAGCUGGGGACUGACAGUACGGGAGACCAGAGGGGAGGCAGGUGCUGAAACUUUCCAUCAAUGAAGCAGCUUGAAAUCACAGUCUUGUGAGGUUCCUGGAAGCACUGCUAACACACUUGUUGGGACUGAAGAAUUAGCUCAUAACUUCCCUGAGCUCUUGAUUCAACACUCUUCAGAUGACUGUGGAGUCGUUCUCAAAGAAACAUACAUCAAUUCAAGAUUUUCCUGGUUAUCACAAGGCAGGCAGCAAAGGACCAGGCUGGGCUAGAAAAGGUAUUUCGCUUUUUAACCUCCACUGAGGACAUUAUUCUUCUCUGAAACCUACUCAAUUCUACUCAAAAAAAUGUCUUCAAUAUGGACUUUAUUCAACUCUCGACUAUACAAUGAAUGACUGAGAUUCAGCGACUCCGUACUACCCUAACAUACUCAUAACAGUUAAUCCAGAUAAGGUGUAUGAUGACAAUAGUGUAACAGAUAAUCAAGAUGAGAAUUUAAAAAAAUACUGAUCAAAAUUAUGAGGUAUCAGGGGUAGGUUUUCUAGGAAGACCAUCACUGAAAGGUGGAAGAUAGAAGCUGGCCCUCACGCUUCUCUGUUACCACUGAAGGUGCAAGAAUUGGACAAAAGUGCCAGCGUUUCAUGUUGGAUAGAAAGAAGACAUAGAGUUGUAGCAUCUCAGUUCCAAGGAAUAAUGAACCAGAGAGAUUUGCAGUACAGUGAGAUGUGAAGUCAGAGGAUGGAAAAUAUGGCCUUUCAAGAUAUUUUUCCAGUGCUUGGUUCUCUAAGUGACCAGGCCUCCUUCUUAAAGUUCUUUAGUCUUGUUCUAGGAUGACAUCACAGUUAGGCAUUUUAUGUCAUGCCCUACAUGUAUAUACAGUAGUCCUCCCUUAUCUCUGGGGGAUACAUUCCAAGACCCCCAGUGGAUGCCUAAAAACUCUGGUAGUACCAAACCCUAUAUAUACUAUGUUUUUUUUUUUUUUUCUAUACUUACAUAUCUAUGAUAAAAUUUAAUUUGUAAAUUAGGCACAGCACUCUUGCCCUUUGGGGCUAUUAUUAAUCAAGUAAGGGUACUUGAACACAAGCACUGCGAUACAGUCAUCUGAUAACUGAGACAGUUGCUCUGAUCACUGAGACUGCUACUAAGUGACUAAUGGAUGAGCAGCAUGAAUAUGCUGGACAGAGGCAGGAUCACAUCCAGGGCAGCAAGGGGCAAGAUCUCAUCAUGCUCCUCAGAAUGCCAUGCAAUUAAAACUUAUGAAUUGUUUAUUUCUGGAAUUUUCCAUCAAAUAUUUUUGGACUGUGGUUGAGCAUAACUGAAACCAUGAAAAGUGAAGCCAUGGGUAAGAGGGGACUACUGUAUACCAUUUCUUUUUUCAGUCUCCCUGCUACUCCCCACUAGGAGAACAAAGAUGGGAGAAUAAAGGGGUCUGGUAGGAAGGAGAUUGCAAACUAUGUUGUCAGUUCUUGAAAUGAAUCCAUGAGCCCUGUGCAGAAACCCUCUAGGUCUGUUCCUCUCAGGACAUUAAAUCAUUCACUUUUUAUUUCUAAUAUAGUCCCAUGAUUUUAUUUCCUAAGAAACUUUAGAAAGUUUACAGCUUUUGAACUAUAUGUCCAUCCACUAUUUGACAUCCUGGGGGUUACUGGCCCACCCAGGAGCUUUCAUGAUCAGGUCAAAAUCACAUGUAUCCAUUGGGCUUCAGGGCAGAACAUGCAUCCUCAGAUGAUUGUUGUACACAGAAAAUUAGGGAACACAGCUAAGAUCAAUACCAGGGAGCUCCCAAAUGGCAGUUCCAUUUUCAUUCCUUCAUUAAAAUCAUAAAAUCCAUAAUAAUUCCUGGUUAGCAAUAAACACAAUCAUUGUGCUACAUCAUAAAUCACACCUUCUGAUCGACAGAAAAUGAGAAUAAUAUUAUAAAAUAAAAUAACAAUGAUAAUAAUGCCAUAACUUAAGAUCUUUCAUGUAGUCCAGCUACAGAAUUUUUACAAAAUGGAAUAAUUUAAUGCAAACAAUACUGUUCUUUGUAUAAAUUAAACAUUUUCCUUCAUCCUACCUAAGAGCUAUAAAUCACAGACACUACAUUUUAAAUCAAUGUAUCAACAUAAAGUGUAAACAAAUGGAUCAAACAAGCAAAAGGAAUUCUAAAUUCCCUCCUGCCUUUCCUUUUUGGCUGAUACAAUCAGUGAAACCCAGAGGAGUGACAACAUUUUCAUGUGCAUUGGAAAUGGUUUAACAGCUGUCUGUGCAAGUAUUUCCUAAUGUCCAACAUGAUGCAAUGUCAAAGAGUCCAGCGAAUCUAGAGAGGUUGUUUGACAGUAAUCUAUCUUGGAGACAGGGACAGGUACUAGGUCAACAUCUAUUUGUACAUAAACUUCUAAAUAAAAUUUUCCAUAAUGCCAAGGCACCAUGAAGUACCUUGGAAUGCUUUUCAGAGCCCAUGACCCUGGAGACAGGCAGGACCUCAUGCUUUUGGCAAAUGUAAAAAUCUUUCCUAUCUCUGCUCAGCAUCACUUGUUCUUUCCACAAAUGUUCAAAUCCAGUUCCUUAAAACUGCAUUGAUUUGGAGUGAAGUAAAAGAUAUUUUACAAGUAGCAUUGAACAAAAAUGCUAUGGUGCUGGGAGAGGAGUUGCCUUUUGCAGGUUGCUUGUUUUUGCCUUUAUUUUGACAGUGGUAGCCAGUCAUUAAGACUUCUAAGAUAGGCCGGGCACAGUGACUCAUGCCUGUAAUCCCAGCACUUUGGGAGGCCGAGGCAGGCGGAUCACCUGAGGUCAGGAGUUUGAGACAAGCCUGGCCAACAUGGUGAAACCCCAUCUCUACUAAAAAUACAAAAUUAGCUGGGUGUGGUGGCGGGCGCCUGUCAUCCCAGCUACUUGGGAGGCUGAGGCAGGAGAAUCGCUUGAACCCGGGAGGUGGAGGUUGUAGUGAACCAAGGUUGUGCCAUUGCACUCUAGCCUGGGCAAAAAGAGCGAAACUCUGUCAAAAAACAAAACAAAAUAAAACAAAACAAAACAACAACAAAAAACAAAACAAAACAACAAAAAAAGAACUUCCAACAUAGAAUGAGCUAGUAAAUGAAAACAAAGGGAUGGUUUGGGCUCAGACAUUGUAUAGACACACACACAUCCUAGCUGCCUUCAAAGUCUGUUCUCCCGCUUGAAUCAAUAUGACUCAAGUAGACAAGCAACCUGGUUCCAGAGAGGGGUGAUUCCAUCUUCUCCACGUAGCUGAACUGAGUGAUCCUGAGAAUGGAGUUUUAUAAAUUCCACGUUCGCUUUCCUAACACCGUUGUAGAUGUUCUUCCUCUCUUACCCUUUUCUCCUCCUCAGUACUGCCCCCCAACCUUUGUUCCUACCGUAAGUGGUCAGCAGACAGAAAGGAAAUGAGCUACAAGGAAAUGGCACUUGAGUGUGAAAGGUCAACACAUUGGGUCAAGGUCAUGACAGUGACAGCACUACAAAGGGA